AAAGUUUCCACUUUUACUGACAGAUGAGUUUUGCCAAAGAGCAAAAGAGACCGUUAAAGUUAUAGGUUCAACACCAUGAUGCUUAUUUUGUUUAUAAUCUUUGAUUUUUUUCUCCUAUCAGCAGGUUCUUCUUCAAGCAAACAAGUUGACCAGACUCCACUCCACAUCCUCAAAAACCCUGGAGAAUCUGCCACAAUCAACUGUUCACACAGGAUCCAGAGCUACGACCGGAUCCUCUGGUACAAACAAAUAGAAAAUGGAAAACUACAGUUCCUGGGAUACAUGUAUACAGACAUGUGGACUCCUGAAGCAGGAGUGACGGUGAAGGUGGACGGGGAUGCAAGUGAAGGCCGGACCUGCACAUUAACAACUGAAGAACUCCUGUCAAACAGCAGUGCAGUUUACUUCUGUGCUGCUAGUUACCACAGUGCUGCAUAUCUCAGCUCCUCUGUACAUAAACCUCACAGGCCCUCCCACCUGACUUCACUCACUCUAAUCAACAGUGUUUUUUUCUCUAUUAGGGGAGGAUCCUUCUGUGAAGCAACACACCAUUUAACCUCUUGGCAUCACUUCAUGUGAAACGGUACCACAAUGACGACUAAAGUUUUCAUCAAACUUCUACUUUCUUCUCUGUGGAUUCAAGUUCGCUGCCAGGAUGUCACCCAGUUCCCUUCCAUCAGCUGGAAUCGUCAGUCCACAUCUGCAGAGAUGAACUGCAGCCACAACAAGGAUGCUUCUCAUUCCCAGAUGUACUGGUACAGGCAGCGUCCAGGAGAGACCAUGACCCUCAUCGUGUACACAGCUUCGGGAUUAAGUCCAGAAUACGGAGGGAGCUCCCAAACCAAAUAUUCAGCCAUCAAAGACAGCUUUGAAAAGGGGGCUCUUUCUGUCAAAGACCUGCAGCCUGAUGACAGCGGUGUGUAUUUCUGUGCUGUCAGCAAACACAGUGAUGUGAGGACUGGAAACAGCUGAACAAAAACUGGCUGCAGAUCAAGUGACUGAAUUAAUAACAGCAUCAGGAGUGUUACAUUUCUCCAGUAGGUGGCACUGAGGUUUAAGAAAUCCUCAAGCUUUAACAUCUUGACAUGCACUGAAUGUUGAAUGUGAUGCAGCUGGUGGAGAUUAGAUACAAGGACACUAACA